CCUACGGGGCGCAGCAGUAGGGAAUCUUUCACAAUGGGCGAAAGCCUGAUGGAGCAACGCCGCGUGCAGGAUGAAGGCCUUCGGGUUGUAAACUGCUUUUAUAAGCGAGAAAUAUGAUGGUAACUUAUGAAUAAGGAUCGGCUAACUACGUGCCAGCAGCCGCGGUCAUACGUAGGAUCCGAGCAUUAUCCGGAGUGACUGGGUGUAAAGAGUUGCGUAGGUGGCAUAAUAAGUAGCUAGUGAAAUCUGGUGGCUCAACCAUUCAGACUAUUAGCUAAACUGUUAAGCUCGAGACCGUUAGGGGUAACUGGAAUUGCUAGUGUAGGAGUGAAAUCCGUAGAUAUUAGAAGGAACACCAAUAGCGUAGGCAGGUUGCUGGGACGGUUCUGACACUAAGGCACGAAAGCGUAGGGAGCAAACGGGAUUAGAUACCCGAGUAGUC
rnacentral:rRNA from 1 species